GGCAAAGACAGAGAGCAUUGUGGGAACUACAGGCCAAUAUCGCUAAUCAAUUGCGACAUUAAGCUACUGGCCAAGAUCCUGGCGGUGCGCCUCACCAAGCAUAUCCCAUCUCUGGUCCACCCUGACCCGGUGGGAUUUGUGACAGGACGCGAGGCACGCGACAACACCAUCAGAGCGCUCACACUUAUGCACGGAGGUGGGGGCACAGAUGGAGGCCUUCUCUUGUUGUCCACGGACGCAGAGAAGGCCUUCGACAGAGUGAGCUGGGAUUACCUCUUCGAAACGCUAUCCCACAUGGGGCUGGGUCCCCACACGCGACGCUGGAUAGAGGCGCUAUACCAAGCACCGACGGCCCAGGUGCUAGUUAACCGG